rnacentral:misc_RNA from 1 species
AAAGUCGUAACAAGGUCUCCGUUGGUGAACCAGCGGAGGGAUCAUUACAGAGUUGCAAGACUCCCAGACCACUGUGAACUUUACCAGCCGUUGCUUCGGCGGGCGCGGCCCUACAGCUGCGCGAGCCCCUCCCGGGGCGCCCGCCGGAGGCACCCAAACCAGUGACGUUUUGCAUGGCCUCUCUGAGCAGCUGUACUGAAGUCAAAACUUUCAACAACGGAUCUCUUGGUUCUG